UACGAAGGGGGCGAGCGUUGUUCGGAUUUACUGGGCGUAAAGGGCGCGCAGGCGGCUUAUUUUGUCAGGCGUGAAAGCCCCGGGCUUAACUUGGGAACUGCGUUUGAUACGGAUGGGCUAGAGUUCGGGAGAGGAGCGUGGAAUUCCCAGUGUAGAGGUGAAAUUCGUAGAUAUUGGGAAGAACACCGGUGGCGAAGGCGGCGCUCUGGACCGAGACUGACGCUGAGGCGCGAAAGCGUGGGGAGCAAACAGG
rnacentral:rRNA from 1 species